UACGGGGGGAGCAAACGUUGUUCGGAAUCACUGGGCGUAAAGGGCGCGUAGGCGGCUUGUCGAGUCGGGUGUGAAAUUCCUGGGCUUAACCUGGGGGCUGCAUUCGAUACGUAUGGGCUUGAGUGCGGAAGAGGGUCGUGGAAUUCCCAGUGUAGAGGUGAAAUUCGUAGAUAUUGGGAAGAACACCGAUGGCGAAGGCAGGUCUCUGGGCAUUAACUGACGCUGAGGAGCGAAAGCAUGGGGAGCGAACAGG
rnacentral:rRNA from 1 species